ACUCGACCGAGCGAGUAUAAAUAGCCAUUAGGCUCGGUGCGUCUAUCCCUCACACCACGAGGGAUAGGGUUGAA
rnacentral:ribozyme from 1 species